CCUACGGGAGGCAGCAGUGGGGAAUAUUGCACAAUGGGGGAAACCCUGAUGCAGCGACGCCGCGUGAGUGAAGAAGUAAUUCGUUAUGUAAAGCUCUAUCAGCAGGGAAGAAAAUGACGGUACCUGAGUAAGAAGCCACGGCUAACUACGUACCAGCAGCCGCGGUAAUACGUAGGGGGCAAGCGUUAUCCGGAUUUACUGGGUGUAAAGGGAGCGUAGACGGCAGUGCAAGGCUGGAGUGAAAGGCGGGGGCUCAACCUCCGGACUGCUCUGGAAACUGUACGGCUUGAGUGCAGGAGAGGUAAGUGGAAUUCCUAGUGUAGCGGUGAAAUGCGUAGAUAUUAGGAGGAACACCAGUGGCGAAGGCGGCUUACUGGACUGUAACUGACGUUGAGGUUCGAAAGCGUGGGGAGCAAACAGGAUUAGAUACCCUGGUAGUC
rnacentral:rRNA from 1 species